rnacentral:misc_RNA from 1 species
AGCUCUACAAGAUUAUGUACAGUGACAAGUGCUAAUUCAGAAGUUUCUGUAUUGAGCAAAGCUAGUAUGUGAGAUCCAGGAAUGAAGCUUCCAACCACCAUGUACACGUAUAUCGUAGACUUCUGAUCAGCAUCUCAACAUCAUGCAUCAGAACAUUGAAUGCCAACUAUAAUGCAAUAUUUCCAGAGAAGCAGGAAGCCA